rfam:Candidatus Woesearchaeota archaeon CG1_02_57_44 cg1_0.2_scaffold_329_c, whole genome shotgun sequence.
GCCGCGGUGGCAGAAUCUGGUUAAUGCGCCAGCCUUGAGAGCUGGUGGCCGCAAGGCCUUUCCGGUUCAAAUCCGGACCGCGGCG